AUUGAACGCUGGCGGCAUGCUUUACACAUGCAAGUCGAACGGUAACAGGCCUUCGGGUGCUGACGAGUGGCGAACGGGUGAGUAAUGCAUCGGAACGUACCCAGAGGUGGGGGAUAACGCAGCGAAAGCUGUGCUAAUACCGCAUGUGAUCUGAGGAUGAAAGCGGGGGACCGAGCAGCAAUGUUUGGCCUCGCGCCUUUGGAGCGGCCGAUGUCGGAUUAGCUAGUUGGUGGGGUAAAGGCCUACCAAGGCGACGAUCCGUAGCUGGUCUGAGAGGACGACCAGCCACACUGGGACUGAGACACGGCCCAGACUCCUACGGGAGGAAGCAGUGGGGAAUUUGGGACAAUGGGCGCAAGCCGGAUCCAGCAAUGCCGCGUGCGGGAAGAAGGCCUUCGGGUUGUAAACCGCUUUUGGCAGGAACGAAACGGUGUCCGCUAAUACCGGGCGCUAAUGACGGUACCUGCAGAAUAAGCACCGGCUAACUACGUG
rnacentral:rRNA from 1 species